rnacentral:piRNA from 1 species
AUCAUUUCCUUUCCGUCCUGCUCCUCUG